rnacentral:sRNA from 1 species
CUGAUCAGUCACCCCCAGCUCAGCGGCAGCAGACGGCCAGCGUGGAGCCAGAGUGGCCGCGGAGGCGCUCACACGACGCUUUAGAAGCACGUGAGCCAGCACUUAAACGCUGGAAGGUCUCUUGUGAGAUCCCAGAUCGUCUGCACCUCGUAAUAAGCGGGAAGCUGUGUCAGCCGGGGGCCUGCGUUUGGGCUCGGCACCAACGGGGACUGGCUGCCCCUCGGGAAAGGGCACGUGUCCCCCAGUUCACCACCACCCCGGCCCCUUGUCUCAGGCCUGACCCACCUCCUCGUGUGGGCUGCCUGCUGGGCCUCCUACAAGCGUCUGAAUCUGGGGGACGUUCUUUCCCUAGAGUCUCGGCCUUACCUUCCCAAGUUCCCAAGGCUUCUGCCCACGUCCUUCGCUGCCCCUUCCGCAGGCAGGCCUCGGGUGGGCUGGCCGGGGUGCGGUGCGGUGGCCUUUUUCUCUGCCCUUUUCUUGCCCUGUCCCCACCCCCACCCCAGCUCUCCAUCCCAAAUGCUAGAAGCUCUCCAGGGUGUGGGUGUGCUGGGUGGGGGGUUGCUACUGGAGAGCUGUUGUGGUGCCGCCCUCCACCCAUCCUCACGCCCCACCCCAGGCGGGAGCGCUCCAAGGUGCCCUACAUCGUCCGGCAGUGCGUGGAGGAGGUGGAGAAGAGAGGCAUCGAGGAGGUUGGCAUCUACCGGAUCUCGGGCGUGGCCACGGACAUCCAGGCGCUCAAGGCCGUCUUCGAUGCCAAUAACAAGGACAUCCUGCUGAUGCUGAGUGACAUGGACAUCAACGCCAUCGCCGGGACGCUCAAGCUCUACUUCCGGGAACUGCCCGAGCCGCUCCUCACGGACCGACUCUACCCAGCCUUCAUGGAGGGCAUCGCCCUGUCAGACCCUGCUGCCAAGGAAAACUGCAUGAUGCACCUGCUCCGCUCCCUGCCCGACCCCAACCUCAUCACCUUCCUCUUCCUGCUGGAACACUUGGUUGCCGAGAAGGAGCCCAUCAACAAAAUGUCACUUCACAACCUGGCUACCGUGUUUGGACCCACGUUACUGAGACCCUCAGAAGUGGAGAGCAAAGCACACCUCACCUCGGCUGCGGACAUCUGGUCCCAUGACGUCAUGGCACAGGUCCAGGUCCUCCUCUACUACCUGCAGCACCCCCCCAUUUCCUUCGCAGAACUCAAGCGGAACACACUGUACUUCUCCACCGACGUGUAGCCCGAGGCAGGGCGGUUGCGGGGGGGUGGUGGAGACAGCCCCUCCAGCCCGGGGUCCAACUCAGACUUGAAAGACUGCAAUAGAAAACUCCCAAACCCAGCACUCCAGACUCAAGGGAAGCCAGCUUCCAAGAACUGGAAUGCGUACGUCUUUUGUGCCACCUUGUACAAAGCCGGCUGCCCAGCCCCAGCCUCACCACCGCACCCACCUCCUGCCCUCCAUACCUCUAGUUGUGUCUGAUGCUCCGUGCUGUUCGGGAAUUGUUUUAUGUACACUUGUCAUGCAGAAAAGGUAGUGACCGGCCCGGCGUGGGCACAGACAGCCCGCUUUGUUCUUUCAUUUCCUCCAGCACUUUCUUUCCUCCUGAGUCCAGCCCAAGGCCUUUUAUUUUGCGCUGUGUAACCGCUGCCAGCUUCUCUCUUGGCCCUGCUCCCAGAUGGCGGUCUCCUGGCAGCCCCCGCUCAGUCUUCCUCCACCCGCUCUUCCUUCCCAGCCUGCCUGCAUGCGUGUGCACCCUCGGUCUUCGCUGCAUCACCUUGAAAGCUCUGAAGAGGCCCCGGGUUGCCGGGGCAGCGGCGGCCCGUUUGAUGCUGCCGUUUGCCGCUGCCGGCCCCUCCUCAGCCUCCGCCUUUGGGAGCACACCUGCUUUGCCUUGCUGCCUGUGCAAAUGUUGGACAAGGAGACACACUCACACUCGUCCCCAGCUUAGCACAGAGCUGGAGUGCCCAUUUCUGGAAUUUUCCAUUUGGGAAUCUCCACUUCUGGGGUUUACCUGUUCGGCCUCCUGCCUAUCAGUGAGGCAUCUCUGACUGUUUCUUCUACUGCUUUUCAGUUCCUUUCCCUGCUGUUCUAUUUCCUUUGAGUGUAAAGACUCACAAGUGACCUGCUAUUGAGAUAGCCAGAGGGUCAGCAGAGAACGGGGGAGGAGGCAGGCUGCUGAGGAAACACCACGGGCUGAACGGGGGAGGAACGCACACAUCACGCUGGGUGUCCCGGGUCAUGGGUGGGGCAGCUCAGCUCUUAGGAGCGAGUUGUGGGGGCUUUUCAAGAGGGGCCAGGCUUCCUGGAGGGUGACUGAUGUGGCCGAAGCAGGUGUCCAGGCAGGCAGGCUGCAGCCAGGAGCUCCCUGGCACCGCAGGACCUCGUGGUACUCUUGCCUUAGAUUUUACACACUCUCCACAGCCAAGCACUGCCACGGUCCUCCAGGACCUGGGAAGCAAAGGCACAGGCCCACAGUGGUCAGCCAUUGUGGUGCCACCCCAGCUUCUGGACGCAGCCUUUUGGGUAAACACUGGGAACUCCAGAAGUUGCGGGGAGAGUGGGGAAUCAGACAGCCGCCUCUAGGGGCUGGGUUCUGCUGGGGCCUCCUUGGUGCUGUAGGCACCCGCCAGGGAGCAGGGACCCGACUUGAAGACUCAUUGCCCAGUACUAGGAAGGAGUGAGGUGUGUUCCCACCGUACACUUUCCCACAUGAGCUGCGGCUGCCAGCCUCGGGCCAUCAGCCUAGGAGAGCAGACGCAGCUCCAGGGGCUCGACUUAUAGCCAGUUACAGCUCCCUGGGUGUUCUAUGUGGCAGAGUGUCGUUUCUGGGCCCUCAGGGCUGGGGAGCUCAGUUCCCACUGCUUGUGCUUGGGGCUGAGUCUUAAAGAAGGGUUUGCUGGCCCUAAGGCUGCAGCGCUUGCUCAGUAAGAGGCAGAGCCCUUUUUGAUCCUGUUUACUCCUGUUGUCUUGGGCAGAACAGUAAAUAUUCUGUGCACGGAGGAAAGACAUGCCCAAGAGGAAGGAAGUACUGACCAUCAGCUGCCUGUGAGCAGCUUAGCAGGGAGCCCUUGCUCCCUGGGACAGGCGGUGAACUUGAGUCUAAAGAUCCAGCGCCUGGCCCUUCCUAAGGUCCCUGCCUGGCAUCUGAGUGUCGGUGUGUGGCACAGAAGGCUCCUGCUUGCUUCCAAAGCAAUGGACAGGAAGGGGCAGAGUGAGUCAUGGCUCAGACUGGGCACCUUCGCAUCUCAGCCUCAGGGAGCCCCACGGCCCCAAGCUUGCUGAGGCAACGUGAGAACAGGCUACGGGAAGGCUGCAAAAGCUGAGAAAUGCAAAGGCUCAUAUUUAUAAAUCCCACCCCCAGAGUGGGGAGGGUCAGGUGCCAGACCUGGACUGAACUGCACUAAGGAAACACCCAGCAGGGUCUCCUGUGAGCUGGGGACCGUGCAGCCCGGGACCUCCAGUCACUGCGCCCGGCAGGAGUCAGGAGCCAGGGAUUGUGCAGCCCGGGACCUCCAGUCACUGCGCCCGGCAGGAGUCAGGAGCCAGGGACUGUGCAGCCCGGGACCUCCAGUCACUGUGCCCAGCAGGGUGGGCUGUGCCCGGCAGGAGUCAGGCUAAGAAACCCCAGGUCUGCCUGUCCUUGCUGGGCAAUGGCUGAUGGCUGCCAGUUUCUGCUGAUACACAGGUAGGAUGGGACCCUUCAUGAAUAUCUGACUUUAAUAAGUUGGUAAGGAUAUAUUUUUUUGUCUAUGUUCUGUUUCAACUUAUGUAGAUUAUUAUAAAUCGAUGUAAACCACGUGAGAGGAAAAUGUUAAUAAAAAAUGCAAAGCCCCAACAUUUGCAC